rnacentral:rRNA from 1 species
CGCGUAGGUGGUUUGUUAAGCGAGAUGUGAAAGCCCCGGGCUUAACCUGGGAACGGCAUUUCGAACUGGCAAGCUAGAGUGUGGUAGAGGGUAGUGGAAUUUCCUGUGUAGCGGUGAAAUGCGUAGAUAUAGGAAGGAACACCAGUGGCGAAGGCGGCUACCUGGACCAACACUGACACUGAGGUGCGAAAGCGUGGGGAGCAAGCA